rnacentral:rRNA from 1 species
UACGUAGGGUGCAAGCGUUAAUCGGAAUUACUGGGCGUAAAGCGUGCGCAGGCGGUUUUGUAAGUCUGUCGUGAAAGCCCCCGGGCUCAACCUGGGAAUUGCGAUGGAGACUGCAAGGCUUGAAUCUGGCAGAGGGGGGUAGAAUUCCACGUGUAGCAGUGAAAUGCGUAGAGAUGUGGAGGAACACCGAUGGCGAAGGCAGCCCCCUGGGUCAAGAUUGACGCUCGAUGCACGAAAAGCGUGGGGAGCAAACAGG